rnacentral:lncRNA from 1 species
CGCUGCUGCGGCGACGCGACGCGCAACCGCGCCCGCGGGGAGGGGAGGCGGGGACAGGACGCUCGGCGCUCCCCCGCUGGCGAGCAGAAGGCCUCAGACGUCGCGUCCUGAGCGCUUGUAGCCCAAAUCUGAGUGCGCGUGGAGUAGCAGGAAAGGCACAGCUGGCUGGGUACAGACGCGUACCUCGAAGUUGUUCUGCACGUUCGAAAAGCGACUCCUUACCCCGAGGGCGGGGCUGGGGCUGGGGCAGGUGGCCACGGAGGGGGCAGCUCGUCUGGGCUCCUGCUUGCGCUCAGCUGCCGCUGAGGAGAAAAGAAAAGGGAAAAAAAAGAAGGAAAGACAACGAACCGACGCGCUGAAAGUGGUCGAGGAGUCCAGAACCGGCGGGGGACCUUUGGAGGGCGCAGCCCGGCCCCGGGUCCGGGACCCCUGCCCGGCCGGCCCUCGGAGGGGCCCCUGGAGCCUGGCUGGGCGCCGGCAGUUCCCUUCAACUAUUCUCUUUUCUCGCUUUUCUUUUCAAAUAAAAAAGGCUCGAAGGGAGAGAGAGCUGGGAGGACUCCAAGCCUUUUCGGAUUUGUUCAAGGAUUUUUAUUUAUUUAUUUUCACUUUUAUUGACUUCGUUUCUGUUAUUUCGAGUCGUCACGAUCCACGGGUGAGGAGACAUGCAGGGCGCAUCGCCGCUACCGAGAGAGCAACUACGGGCGGGGCGGCCAG